UUUGUGCAGGAUGCGGGCUGCCUGGGAAAUGUGGCUCAGGAAGCUUCCAAUUCUCAGACGUAAUGGAAAGCCAUUUUACCUUUUCAGGCCUCUAAGGAUGGCAAGUACCUUGGUGUAUUCCACUUAGGACAGUGAAUGGCUUAGGGGUCUGUAACAGCAUUCUCUGACUAUAGCUCCUCAAAGCAGCAGAUUACUGGCUGACAAGUUCCUCCUGUCUGUCUCGACCCCACUUCCCGGGUUGCCUCAGGCAGAGCAGGGCUCAGGCACAAGUGUGGGGCAAUGGAUUGGGGCAGUGGCGAGGCAGUGAGCAUG
rnacentral:lncRNA from 1 species